rnacentral:rRNA from 1 species
CCUACGGGUGGCAGCAGUGGGGAAUAUUGGGCAAUGGGCGCAAGCCUGACCCAGCAAUGCCGCGUGAAGGAAGAAGGCUUUCGGGUUGUAAACUUCUUUUGACAGGGAAGAGAAGAAGACGGUACCUGUCGAGUAAGCCACGGCUAACUACGUGCCAGCAGCCGCGGUAAUACGUAGGUGGCAAGCGUUAUCCGGAUUUACUGGGUGUAAAGGGCGUGUAGGCGGGCUGACAAGUCAGAUGUGAAAUCUGGGGGCUCAACCCGCGAACUGCAUUUGAAACUGUUGGUCUUGAGUAUCGGAGCGGCAGGCGGAAUUCCUGGUGUAGCGGUGAAAUGCGUAGAUAUUA